rnacentral:rRNA from 1 species
AGAGUUCAAGAGUACGUGAAACUGUAUGGUAGUAAACGCAGCCUUCCUCGAAGUUCUUCACGUGGAUCCAGCCUAAGUGUCUGGCGGUGGUGCGGCGGCAGUUAACCGAGCAGCAAUGCCGGCUGUUGUGCAUCUUACUGUUGGCACGCGGGUGCAUCUCCAUGUGUUGUUACUGUAGGAACUGUUGGGACUGAACCUAAGGCCCGGUGCAAAGUUCUGGCUGGCUGUAGUGGCCGGCUGGAGUGCUGCUGGUGUCCUGGCUUCGGACCCGACAGGCAGUCAUGGCAGACUUGUAUAGCAAGCAACCGUUUGCUGUUGCGGUCGGCCAUUCCCUACAGAGUAGGUCGGCGGAGGCUGCGACCCGUCUUGAAACACGGAC